CCUACGGGAGGCAGCAGUGAGGAAUAUUGGGCAAUGGGCGCAAGCCUGAACCAGCAAAGCCGCGUGAAGGAAGAAGGCUUUCGGGUUUGAAACUUCUUUUCGCCGGGGCGCAGAAAGUGACGGUACCUGAUGAAUAAGCCACGGCUAACUACGUGCCAGCAGCCGCGGUAGUCCGUAGGUGGCAAGAGUUAGCCGGAUUUAUUGGGUUUAAAUGGCGUGUAGGCGGGAGUGCAAGUCAGAUGUGAAAACCCAGGGUUCAAACCUGAGCCUGCCUUUGAAACUGGGUUUCUUGAGUGCUGGAGAGGCAAGCGGAAUUCGGUGUGUAGCGGUGAAAUGCGUAGAUAUACGGCGGAACACCAGUGGCGAAGGCGGAUUGCCGGACAGGAACUGACGCUGAGGCGCGAAAGCGUGGGGAGCAAACAGGAUUAGAUACCCGUGUAGUC
rnacentral:rRNA from 1 species